ACCACUUCAUGGCGGUGUUCCUUUAUUUAUUCUCAGAUUUCCUCCAACAGAGCUAUUCAAAGCUGGUGAUGAAAACUGGAAAAUAUUAUAGAAACGCUUGAAUUU